rnacentral:tRNA from 1 species
GGGAGUUUAGCUCAGUUGGUUUAGAGCAUCUGCCUUACAAGCAGAGGGUCGGGGGUUCGACUCCCUCAACUCCCA